rfam:Camelus ferus unplaced genomic scaffold scaffold2337, whole genome shotgun sequence.
UGGGGUAUAGCUCAGUGGUAAGUGCAUGCUUAGCAUGCAUGAGGUCCUGGGUUCAACCCCCAGUACCUCCA